UACGUAGGGCGCAAGCGUUGUCCGGAAUUAUUGGGCGUAAAGAGCUCGUAGGCGGCCUGUUGCGUCCGCUGUGAAAUCCCGGGGCUCAACCCCGGGCCUGCAGUGGAUACGGGCUGGCUGGAGGCAGGCAGGGGAGAACGGAAUUCCUGGUGUAGCGGUGAAAUGCGCAGAUAUCAGGAGGAACACCGGUGGCGAAGGCGGGUCUCUGGGAAGUAACUGACGCUGAGAAGCGAAAGCGUGGGUAGCGAACAGG
rnacentral:rRNA from 1 species